AUUGAACGCUGGCGGCAUGCCUUACACAUGCAAGUCGAACGGCAGCACGGGAGCAAUCCUGGUGGCGAGUGGCGAACGGGUGAGUAAUAUAUCGGAACGUGCCCAGUGAUGGGGGAUAGCCCGGCGAAAGCCGGAUUAAUACCGCAUACGACCUACGGGUGAAAGCAGGGGAUCGCAAGACCUUGCGUCAUUGGAGCGGCCGAUAUCAGAUUAGCUUGNGGUGGGGUAAAGCCUACCAAGGCGACGAUCUGUAGCUGGUCUGAGAGGACGACCAGCCACACUGGGACUGAGACACGGCCCAGACUCCUACGGGAGGCAGCAGUCGAGAGGCUUCGGCAAUGGGGGAAACCCUGACCGAGCGACGCCGCGUGAAGGAUGAAGGCCCUUGGGUUGUAAACUUCUUUUGUUCGGGAAGAAAUGCGAUCAGGUAAAUAAUCUGGUCGUUUGACGGUACCGGACGAAUAAGCUCCGGCUAACUCCGUGCC
rnacentral:rRNA from 1 species